UGGGCGUAAGGGCGCGUAGGCGGCGGGGUAAGUCGGGUGUGAAAUCUCAGAGCUCAACUCUGAAAUGGCACUUGAUACUGCUCUGCUAGAGGACUGGAGAGGAGAUUGGAAUUCACGGUGUAGCAGUGAAAUGCGUAGAUAUCGUGAGGAAGACCGGUGGCGAAGGCGGAUCUCUGGACAGUUCCUGACGCUGAGGCGCGAAGGCCAGGGGAGCAAACGGGAUUAGAUACCCCGGUAGUCCUGGCAGUAAACGGUGCACGUUUGGUGUGCGCGGAUUCGACCCCGUGCGUGCCGGAGCUAACGCGUUAAACGUGCCGCCUGAGGAGUACGGUCGCAAGAUUAAAACUCAAAGAAAUUGACGGGGGCCCGCACAAGCGGUGGAGUAUGUGGCUUAAUUCGAUGCAACGCGAAGAACCUUACCUGGCCUUGACAUGCAUUGUGUCGUCGGUGAAAGCCGGCUAGCGUAGCAAUACGCGCUUUGCACAGGUGCUGCAUGGCUGUCGUCAGCUCGUGUCGUGAGAUGUUGGGUUAAGUCCCGCGACGAGCGCAACCCCUGUGAGUUGUUGCAACCUCGACUUUGGUCGGGGGCACUCUACUCAGACUGCCCUGUGAAACGGGGAGGAAGGUGGGGACGACGUCAAGUCAGGAUGGCCCUUACGGCCAGGGCUGCACACGUACUACAAU
rnacentral:rRNA from 1 species